rnacentral:rRNA from 1 species
AGUGAACGCUGGCGGUAGGCCUAACACUUCCAAUUCUAACGGCACCACAUUAAGAUCUUUCUCUUACGGUUGCCGAGUGUCGUACGGUUGAGGAAUACAUCGGAUUCUACUUUUUCGUGGGGGUUAUCGUAGGGAAACUUACUCUAUUACCUCUUACUACCUCCGGUUUAAAUCAGGGUUUCUUCGGACCUUGCGCGUUUUAUUGAUCCGAUUUCGGAUUAGCUAGUUGGCGGGGUAAAUGCCCACCAAGGCGACGAUCCGUAGCUGGUCUGAGAGGAUGAUCAGCAAAACUGGAACUGAGACAGGGACAAGACUAGUACGGGAGGCAGCAGUGGGGAAUAUUGGAAAAUGGGGGCAAGCAUGAUCAAGCAAUACCGAGUGGGUGAAGAAGGCCUUCGGGUUGUAAAGACCUUUUGUUGGGAAAGAAAAGAAGCAGGUUAAUACCCCGCUGUUCUGACGGUACCCAAAGAAUAAGCACCGGCUAACUUCGUG